GAGUGGUAAGUAGCCUAUAAUGAAAUGUGAAAUUUAUUUGUUAAAAUAGUUGUUGAUCUGUAAAUAUGUACCAUUUUAGCCACCAAAAAAAAAAAAAGGAGAUGCCACUGCUACUGGUGGGGGACCUCCACCUGAGGACCUCACACCCGCAGAGAAGCUAGCGUUGAGUUACAACCGGGGGGCGCCCACUAAUAGAGGGAAUAGGGGGAUCUCAUCAGACAUCAUUCCCCAAGGUGCUUGGGAGCAAUAUGUGCAAGUGAGUGGAGACACUAUAUGCCUGCUAGAUCCCCCAACUCAAGAUGCCCAAGGCUUACCUGACCCAUGUGGAGAUGGCACCAGCAUGUCUAUGGCCCUUGAUGAGGAGACUAUUUCUGCAGUCAGAAAUGCCAGAGAACAUGAUCGGAACAACAAGUACUUCAGCAAGGAAUGAAGAUGUCCGUUCGAUUUACAAGCGUCAUCUGCUUAUUUGCAUUGAAAGUCAGAAACUGGACAUCAAGUCCCAAAAGUUAAAAAUUAAGAAGUUGCAGUUGGAGAGAAAGAAACUGGAGAAGGAUGUAAAUAUAAAAUUAAAACACA